CCCGCAUCUCACCUGCCCCUCAUCUCCUCUCUCGAUCCGCCGCCGGCGCUCUCCGCAGAGACGACACCCUGUCGUGCGUCCUCUCACCUUCGCUGCCUCCUCUCCAGCUCCGGCUCGUCGCCGAACUCCGUCUACUCCACCCAAUAUCCUUCUCCUCUGCCACGUCGCUCGUACUGGACGGCAGGAGGUGCACGGACCCUAGCCGCCGCAACGCCGAGAUCUGCCACCAUGGACACGGCGGACGACGUCGGCUUCGCCACCAUCCACCCGCACCUCGAUGCCUCCUCCAGGGCCGCCGCGUUCCCCAACCCCAAGGGCGGCCGUGGUGGCGGCGGCACGGGAGGCAUGGUCGCGUCGGGAAGAAGCGUGCACGAGCUGCUCGAGUGCCCCGUCUGCAUCAACUCCAUGUACCCGCCGAUCCACCAGGUUCUUUGAUUUUACCCAACCUAUUUCUUGACUUCCCAAAUUUUGCUACAGCGCACUAUGGAGUAGUAUGUGUGUGAUUCGACUUCGGCGAUUCUUGGGUUCGAAUGGGAUUCGACUACGCAACGUAGGAGCCGGUAGAAGCUGCAGAGACGGAGGUUGAGGUGGUUCAGCUGCCCCUCCUUCAUGGAGGUUGAGACAAAAGUAGAGUUAAACUCCCCCUCUUUAGUUUUACCCCUGGAACAUCUUAUCUCUUGUGCAGAUUGUUUUAUAUAUGCUUAGCAGGUGUUUGAUGAAAUUCCUAGAUAAUAUUGGUCUAUAUUUAUGCUCCAUCUAACUGCUUGCAAUCUUGUAAUUAUGGUACUAGGAUGUUCAGGAGAGAGAUUUAUACUUCUAUCCCUUUUGCAAUCUUGCAACACCAUUCAAUGCCUGGCGUGCCGUUGCUGAACAUGGAUUGGCAACGUCGCUACUGAUGUGUGCUAUGGCGGCAGAGGCCAGCCAUAGGAGCUUAACAGUGACUCUAGGAUGACAUGAGCGUUAAGAAUCGGUGUGGCAGCGAGUCUGGUGACCACCCGCGCGGAACUCUGUUGGCCAUGUAUUUUCACUCCGCGGGCUUGAAUGAUUACUGAAAAUGAGUCAUCGACCGUGUUGGCGGGCAUUGCGCUGCAAGUCGUGUUAGUUAUAUGUGGUUGAUGGGACUACAUCCAUGUGAUAAGUAAGUUUAUAUUAGGGCCUCAUAUUGAAUAUUGCACUAGAGCCCCGAUUCCUGGAGAUGGACGAACGGAUGCAUCUCCUCAGUUUUUUCGCUGUAAGAUGUGAUGCUGGUUGUGGCUCUAUGACCACCUCUCGGACUGUGUUCUUCCCGUUGAGUGUCCAACAAGAGGAAGAGGAGGAGCGCAACUGCGCUCGAGCUCAGUGGUGGGAAAGCUGGAGGAUGGUGAAGAUGAGCUUGUGUGUGCUAGACUGGCAUCUCUGCAUGCUCUCGUGUAGGCCUGGCACCCUGCAAACCUGGAAGUGCACACUAUAUUGUCUUUUUACAUGCAUAUGUAAAUGUUCGGAGGUACAUGCAUGCUGUGUCGCUUUGAGAGAUAUCUCCAGGAAGAUGCACAUUGAUGCACCCGCUGCUGAUGGCACACGAACUGUAGCGCCCGGCAGCGUGGGCGAGCGAGGCUGCGAUUGGAGUAGUUGGAACGAUAUGAGCGCUGCUGGGCCACCUCCGACUUGUCAGCGUUUCGCCGCCGCAACCGCUCAUCCAGAGUCAUUUGUCUCUGAGUUCCAUACUAUAAUGGUCUUCGUCCUUGCUGGAUGCCCGAACCAUUACCAUAGGGUGAUACCUAGGAGGAGCUACGCAUUGGUUUAAUACAACUGAGUUGAGAGGAUCGAUCCCAGUCUGGCCAAUUCACUUCCAGUGUUAUGCUUGUAAUCUCUUGGGUGAAUUCUUGAUGCCUGGACCGUUGCUCAUCUUCCUCCCUACAUGAAAAAUGGUGCUUUUCAUACAUCACUCUUUGCUUCUAAAUUAAUUAGGAAAAAAAAUUAUGCUUCCAUAGAUCUGCUCAAAAUUGCCCUAGCACACAGUAGCAUGAAAUUUUCCUACUAGCUAUAUCAGAAAGAUUACUAUUUACCUUCUAUCUGGUUAUGCAGUGGAAAUAGGAAUCAGUAAAUAGUUUCAUCGUCAUCCUAGCUCCGAAGUAGUGCUUUCACUUUGAAACUAAUUUUCUUCUCUGAUUCUCAUCAUAUUUUAAUUAUAGGCCAAAAAAUAUAUUUGGGGUGGUUAUUAUAGCUACGAAUGAAAAUCAUGUACUUAUGUCAUAUGAGCUCUGCAAUGUGGUCAAAGAUUAGUCUUUUUUAAUCUACCACUGAGGAGCUCUUCCUUAUUCAGGGUUAGUAUGAAUUAUUAGCUGAAGGAGGUUCAGAAUAACACAUCUCAUAUCUCAUGUAGGCUAGCUAUUUACAGAAUGAGUGCACCAAGGGAGCAACACAGGGGCAUGUAGCAACUUGAUGAUGGAGAAAUGUAAAAAAAUCAACAGACAUGAGUUCACAGUAUUAUUUUCUUCAGUAUGAUACUCGCAGCAGCCUAUGAGACAUUUUACAUAUUUACAGUUGAAAUACAGGGAUGAUCUAUGGAAUUUCGUAUUUACUGAUUCAUUCUGUUGUCAGCUCACAAUGUUAGUAUUAUAUAGCUCCAAGUUAAUAAUACAGCUAAAUUGAUAGAAAUGAUUAUAUUAUAAUUGCUUUGAAAUUCGUCCUUACUUCCCAGUAUAUUUCUCACUGUACAAUCCAGUUGACAUAAUAAUAUAUGUGUUGGGGGUGCUUUUUGUAGGAUAUAAGAAUUGGGUUUUGAUUAAUAAUGGGAUUAAUAAUUUUAAUGUCAAAAUAUACACUCUACAAUAUGAAACCAUUUCCUUCUCUACAAAAGAAAUUAAGAAAGGAAAGGAAUGCCUUUCCAGAUCAUUUAAACUUGAAGAGAAGAUUGUGCAUACUAUAUCUACAGUAAGCAUGAGAAUUCUUAGCAGCCAUGAGAAAUGCCUUUUGCAUAUUUGCAGUUGAAAUACAGAGAUGCUCUAUGGAAUUUCGUCUUUACUGAUUCAUUAUGUUGUCAGCUCACAAUGUUAGUAGCUGUGCUAGAAUGCAUGCUAUUUACUACUGUAUGAUUAAUAUCAUAUUGGUGUCAGCAAUUGGUUUAAUUAUUAUAUGGCUCCAAAGUAACUUGGAGCUAUAUAAUAAUUUAACCAGCCACAUUUAACAUAAUUACUUUCAAAAGUAAUUACAUUCAAAAGUAAUUAUGUUAAAUGUGGCUGCCUGUUGAGAGAGCUAUUAAAUUAUUGUUUAGCUAAAAAGGAGGUACGCUAUAUUUUCAUCUGGUUUGUAUUGUAAACUCUCAUGUUGUGAUACUACAGAUACACAAAAUAUUUUACCAAACGAUUGACUGUGCGAAAGGCUUGGUGGCGUGCAGAUUGAUAGACUUAUUUUCUGACUAUUAUAAUCGAUAUGUAUAAAUGUUUGAUGCAUUUUACCACCUAUUUAUGAGUGCAGAUGACGAGGUCUUGCAAAAACAAGUGUAUUAGUUAUUCUAAUAUAUUUCUCUAUUUUCCUGAUUGUACAUUCUUUCACUACUUGGUUCAUGAUUUUAUGUAUUUUAUCCUAAUUAUAUCUUAUUGACUUUAUUUUGCAAAACAUAAAAACGUAUUAUCAUUUACUCAAGUGUUUUUUACGUUGUUUUAUAGUGUAAAUUGGUGGUAAUUUCACGGGAUCGUGCGCCAAGGCGCACAUCUAAAUCUAGUCCAGGGGUAUAUAUGAUGCCCCCCCCACGGGGGCCUCACAGCGUUUAGAGCUUCUCGGCCGUCGGAUCAACCCAUCUGUGCAUCUCAGCCAUCCAUUUUUUUCACCGCGUCCGUAUAAAAGGAAGCCCCAACGGCGAGAAACCCUAGCCGCCACAGCUCGUUCGUCCCCAAUCCCCACUCGCUCGUCUCCCCCAAUCCCCUCCUCGCUCGUCUCUGCCCCGCUGUGCGCCUCUCCUCCUCCUCGCCGCCGUCGUGCCUCCUCUCCGCCGGCUUGCCUCCUCCCUGAGCUCAGCAGGAGGAGGACGACGUGAUGCGUGUCUCUCCUCUUCUCCGCCGCCGCGCACCUCUCCUCCUCCUCGCCUCUGUCGCUCCUCUCUCCUCCGGCCUGCUUCUUCCUUGGCCUUAGCCGGUGGAGCACGACGUGCUGCGUGCUCAGUAGGAGACGCCACCAGGGGCGCUUCCUUAGAGGAGUGGAGCGCAGAUCGUCCGGAGGCCGGCGAGACGGAUGCUGCGGCACCGUCGUCUUCAGCGGAGAGGAGCUCGAGCCACCGCCAGGCUGCCGCCAAGCCGCACCAGAGGAAGGGCCGCCGCUGCACCGCGGGAGAGGUCCAGGCCCUGUUGUGUGUGGGUGAUUCGCUGUUCCUAGUGAGGAAGAUGGGAAGGGUAGAAAUAAGGGAUGAAGGAAGUAGAAGAGGAGACAAUGGAUGGGCGGGAUGGAGCAGCACUGCACGUCGUUUGUCUCGUCGCCGGCAGGAGCGCGACAGUACUCAACGGGAGUUGAGCGGAGUGCUGCUCUCCAUCCUUGACCAAGAAGGAGGACAUCAAAGCGCAUCCUAACAAAUGGUUCCGGCUGGCAGAGCAUAUACAUGCCCUUCUACACAUAUUCUUCAUCUGGCAGUGGUGAGUUGAUGCUAGUGAUGGAGAUGGGCACAAAUAAAAGUACUCGGUGACGUGUAGUCGGGGAUCAGGCCUACUCCGUCAACAACUUCUCAAUGAUUUUCAUGGAAAAGCAGAUCGAGAGGAGGCGGUCAUUUCAGUAUAGAGAGGUGAUGGCUUGAGAUUCAUCACUGGCCACCUAUGGCAAGUCCAAACUAGAUACAUCAACUGUUAAACCUACAUGAAAAAAGUAACGCUACGCAAGAUCUUUGCGAGCUCGGGACAAGCAGGAGAUGAUGGGAGUGAAGGCACUCCCGUGUUUCACAUGGAUGUUUUGCGAUCUGGUCGUACUGUGAUUAUGGUCCUAUGGCAUGCCUCUGUCGUGGUUGCGAGGGAAUGGAAAAGCGAUUGUAGGGAAAUUAUCAAUUUUCGCUUGGUGAUCAUAGGCCAUUCUUUGGUGUUUAGUAGUUUAUGUCAAGAUUGUAGGAUACUUUUUUAUACACCGGAGGAAGAGCUCGCUAAUUUGGUUCACAUCCUCAUAUAUUUUGUUAGCAUUUCAUUCAGAAUAUCUGAUUUUCGGCAUAUUUUUCUGUAAAUAUUACAAAAAGAAUCAGUCAUUUGUUAAAUACUGUCUUAUAUAGUGCCAAAGGCAAGUUGAGCCAGAAGGCAAACUUGCUUCUUCACA